rnacentral:lncRNA from 1 species
UCUUUACUUUUGCAAAAGCCAGGAGAGACAAGAACACAUCUGCCAUGAGACUGACUGGCUUCAAGAUCUUUGUGCAGUUGCUUGCAGUUGCUCUGAUAUGCAGCUUGGUCCCUGCUUUUGCUCUUCCCAAAGAUAAAGAUUGCAGGCGUGCGGUUUGCCCCCAGUACUAUGUUGAUGGUUGCGAGCCAGCCUACCCCCCUGGCUCAUGUUGUCCUGACUGGUCUCACUGUCCUAGCCAGCAGUUGCCAUUUUAGUUGCCAUUACAGUCCUCCCGUGGCUGAAAGAGUUGCAACAGCCAUCAACAGAUCAAGCAACUUAGAUUAACUCUCUUCUCGAGAACUUAAUAAAUGAUUAAAAACCA